rnacentral:lncRNA from 1 species
GUUUUGUUUGUGUAGUUAAAAAAAAUCUCUAACAUUUCUCUGUACAAUUGCUUAUCAGUCUGCUUGUAUGAGUUAUUUUCCAGCUUUACAAGGUCAUUUAUAAUUCUACUCCAGUCCUCCAAAGUAAUAACUACUUACUCCAAUUUGCUGUUGUCUGUAAAUUUGAUCAUCGUGUGCUGUAGUCUGUCACCACACAACAGCGGAACAUGUUAAAUCGCCUCAUAUCUAAGAAGAAACAACGGAUGCUACAGUUUGUUCGCAGCCAUCGGCAGUUCCGGUGCCGUUUCAGGUGCGGCAGGAUUUCGGGAUCUCGGUGGAGCUGCGGUCUUGACGGUGACCCGAGGAGGGUUAACACAGAAGUGGUCCCGUUUCAGGAGUUCGGGUCCGCUUAGCUGUGGGCUGUGGACGCCCGUCUGUGUGCACCGUGGAGCCUUCAGGGCUCGGGCCUCGUCCUGGGCCGGCGUGAGGUCGCG